rnacentral:rRNA from 1 species
UGGGGAAUUGUUCGCAAUGGGCGAAAGCCUGACGACGCAACGCCGCGUGGAGGAUGAAGACUUUCGGGUCGUAAACUCCUUUCGACCGAGAUGAAUAGUCUGCGAUCUAACACGUCGCAGGCCUGACAGUAUCGAGGGAAGAAGCCCCGGCUAACUCCGGGCCAGCAGCCGCGGUAAUACGGGGGGGGCAAGCGUUGUUCGGAAUUACUGGGCGUAAAGGGUUCGUAGGUGGCUUGCUAAGUCAGACGUGAAAUCCCUCAGCUUAACUGGGGAACUGCGUCUGAGACUGGCGAGCUUGAGGGCAGGAGAGGAACGCGGAAUUCCAGGUGUAGCGGUGAAAUGCGUAGAUAUCUGGAGGAACACCGGUGGCGAAGGCGGCGUUCUGGACUGCAUCUGACACUGAGGAACGAAAGCCAGGGGAGCAAA